GGCUAGCUCAGUUGGUUGAGCAUGAGAUUCUUAAACUCAGGUUUGUGGGUUUGGAGCCCCACGUGGGGCA